rnacentral:rRNA from 1 species
UACGUAGGGUGCGAGCGUUGUCCGGAAUUACUGGGCGUAAAGAGCUCGUAGGUGGUUUGUCGCGUUGUUCGUGAAAACUCACAACUCAAUUGUGGGAGUGCGGGCGAUACGGGCAGACUGGAGUACUGCAGGGGAGACUGGAAUUCCUGGUGUAGCGGUGGAAUGCGCAGAUAUCAGGAGGAACACCGGUGGCGAAGGCGGGUCUCUGGGCAGUAACUGACGCUGAGGAGCGAAAGCGUGGGGAGCGAACAGG